UUGCACGCUGGCGGCAGGCCUAACACAUGCAAGUCGAACGGUAACAGGAAGCAGCUUGCUGCUUUGCUGACGAGUGGCGGACGGGUGAGUAAUGUCUGGGAAACUGCCCGAUGGAGGGGGAUAACUACUGGAAACGGUAGCUAAUACCGCAUAACGUCGCAAGACCAAAGAGGGGGACCUUAGGGCCUCUUGCCAUCGGAGGUGCCCAGAUGGGAUUAGCUAGUAGGUGGGGUAACGGCUCACCUAGGCGACGAUCCCUAGCUGGUCUGAGAGGAUGACCAGCCACACUGGAACUGAGACACGGUCCAGACUCCUACGGGAGGCAGCAGUGGGGAAUAUUGCACAAUGGGCGCAAGCCUGAUGCAGCCAUGCCGCGUGUAUGAAGAAGGCCUUCGGGUUGUAAAGUACUUUCAGCGGGGAGGAAGGGAGUAAAGUUAAUACCUUUGCUCAUUGACGUUACCCGCAGAAGAAGCACCGGCUAACUCCGUG
rnacentral:rRNA from 1 species